UAUGUGUGGGUGGUUGGGGAGUGGUACUGAACUUUUUCUACUCUUCAGUAGAGUGUUUUAUUUUUUUUUUUUAAUAACAGCUUUAUUGAGAUGUAAUUCACAUGCCACACAAUUUAUUUACCCUUUUAAAGUGUAUAAUUAGCAUAUUCACAUAGUUGUACAACCAUUACUCCAGUCGAUAUUAGGACAUUUUCAUUACCCCACCAAGAAACUCUGUACCCAUUAGCAGUCACCCUCCACUUUCUCCCAAACCCCCCAGCCCAGGAGAACCACUAAUCUUUCUGUCUCUAUAAAUUUACCUUUUCUGGACAUUUCAUAUAAAUGGAAUCGUACAGUAUAUGAUUCUUUGUGACUGACUUCUUUCACCGUAGCAUAAUGUUUUAAAGGUUAAUCCAAAUCAGAACUUCAUUAUGUUUGAAUAAUAUUUUGUUGUAUAGAUAUACUAUAUUUUGUUUACUCAUCAGUUGAUGGACAUUUGGAUGCAUUUUAGUUUGCAGUGAUUGAAACAACAUUAGCUAGGGAGUCAAACCCACUAAGUAGUUGACAGUGUGUUGAUAAAACCAACCUAUUCUUAAAAAGAGACAGGUAGUUUAGUGUAAAUCUAUGCCAGAAGCAUCAAAAUUAACGUAUUUUAGGCAAAUAGCUUAUAUUUAUUUUUGAUAGCCCUACUUUAGGAGAAUGAUAGUGAUAGGGGUAAGAAUUGAGUACUUUCUAAAAGGCCAAAGGCAACUCAAGAAAGUUUUAAAGAUGGAAAAAAUACUUAUAUACUGACAGUAUUAUGUAAAUAAUAGGUAGGGGAAGUAUGUUAUAGUAGAAAGAAUAUGGACUUUGGAUUCAGAUAGAUCAGGGGUUUCUGAUCUAAUUUUGACAUUCUCAGCCUCAAAUUUUCUCUGCUAUAAAAAGUAGAGAUGAUUUAUUAGGAAUGAAUGAGAACCUCUGAAAGGAAUGUCACACAGUGCUUGGCACAUGGUAGUUACAGAUAAGAUAUUCUUUCCAUGAAUGUUUAUUAAAUCAAAUUGCUUCUAUGCCUUUGGUUUUGUCUGCAUCCAGGAACUUCUUUCUUCCUCCUUCCUAGUUAAUCCAAAUUCAUCCAAGUCCACUUGAGUCUCAUCUCCUUCCUGAAGCUUUUCCUUUGUGACCUUUUGAUGUUCCUCAUCUUUAAAAUGUAUGAUUUGAAUUGAAUGUCUAGCCCCUUUCUGCUCUUCACUGUGAUUCUCAGACUGAAGCCAACAUUGAUAUUGCUCUUUGAACCCUCCUGGCUCUUACUUACGUAUACCACACAGUUAAGUACUAUGAUCUUGUACCUGGGAUUAUGUUUUCAUAAGAAUGUGGUCAUAUUGAGGGCAGGCUCUGAAAAACAAAUGCUGCUGUAUCUGUAUUUACACUUGCACCAAAGUAACAUUUCAGUUUAUUGAGCAAUAUUACUCUUGUUUUUUUGGAUCGGUAUUUUUAAUAGGAAAUUGGAUGGUGGAUAGAACCAAGAUGGAAGUACGUGAUUCCAUUGUGAUUUAGGAGAUAAUAUAGAAGUUUUAUGAGAGACUUUAGAGCCUACCUUGGUGGUGUAGUAGUUAAGAGCUUGGCGGCUAACCAGAAGGUUUGCAGUUCAAAUCCUCUAGUCACUCCUUGGAAACCCUGUGGAGCAGUUCUGCUCUGUCUUAUAGGGUCGCUAUGGAAGUGACUCAUCAGCAAUGGAUUUGGUUUUGGUUCUUUAGUAAGUGGGUGGGGCAGUUGGUAUAGAGUUAAAUAGAAGAGUCUUGCAGUUCCAAAGCAAGAACCCUAGAUCGUACAGAUAGAGAACCAAGCAGAAUGAAAACGGGAUUUAGUGUAGGAAGCAGAAUUAUUUGGAGAAAUGGUCUUGAAGAAACGCAUCUGCAUAGGUAAUAGAGAGUGUCUGGGGCUAGAUUAGUAUAGACUGUAGAGCACUUGGAGGAUUGGAGUUGAGCUUGGGCUUGUCACAGACAUCAUGCUUUAAGUGAUGUAUUCAUUAUUUUCAUGGAGCGUUUAUUCUUCUCAAAGGGAAGAUUUAUUUUGUUUAACAUCUUUGGGUUAACUUUAGGAAGGCUUCUGUGUGAAAUUAUGUUGGAAUUGGUUUUAAGGAUGUAAAUCCUAUAAAUCCACAGCUUGGGUAACAAACUGAAUCUCUAACAAAUACAGGGAAUUUAAAAGAAAAAUCCCAUUUUAAAAAGAAUACCCAAUAUUACAUUACAAGCAGUUGUGAUACUCAAAUUCUGUAUCCAGAGGACAUCUUUGUAUGUCAUUGGAAUCAUUAUCACUGCCUACUCUCAUUUAGGUAGAGCAGAACUAGAAUUCAGAUUUCUUAGAUUUUGAUAUCUUUUAUAAAGGCAAAGCCGUUAUAAGUACAUCACAUUGCACACCUAAAUGCCUUAGUGAUUUUCUUGAAAAAUUUAGUCAGCAAAUAGCUAUUAUUUUAUAAGCCACUAUGGAUACUGCAGAAAAGAAAAAAAUCAGUGCAAUCUUUUUUGCUUGCUAUCUUACCGUCUCCCUCAGAUAUAUGAAAAUAACCACCAAGAAGUAAUGUUUGGGAUAUGAUCGUACAAAAACCAGUGUGCUUUGUGUCUAAUGUUCAGAAGGAGAAGAUGACUCUAUUCUGGGGUAAAUAUAGUCACAUGCAGACGGAAAUAAUUGAAUUUGAAUCCUGGAGAAUCUGGUAUAGGGAGAAUUUGACUACAUGGAGGAAAUGGGAAUAGUAUUUUAAACCAGAAGAACAACAGAUUGGGAGAACAGUAUGAACAAAUUGGUUUGGUUGGGAAUCUUUAAUGUGGUGAUGUUUACUGUAAAUUAGGUAGGAGAGACACCAUCUACAAAACUGUUGAUUUAGUCCAGAGUCCUAGGGGUAAUUUACCAGGUUAGUAAUAGUAGUAUUGAAAGUAAACAAAAUAUUGUCAAAAUAAUUUUAAAAUAAGUUAACAGGAUUGAUGACUUGAUAAAAAGAUUGAUGGAGAGAGGAGUGAGAGAGAGUUUUCAGAUUGCAGAAUUAGGUGAUUUUUAAAAUGAUUGUGCCAGUGACAGAAAUAGGGAAGUUGGGAGGAAGAACCCAUUUAGAGAGAAGAUAAUGAGUUUAGUUUUAGAUGUGUUGUGUUUGGGUUGUCUCUACUUGAUUCCAGUGAAGAAAUUUCAGGAAAUAGGAUUAGAAUCUUUGUGUCAGGCCUAGAGAUGCAAAUAUAUGUUGAUGCUUGGACAUAGAAGAAACUGCAGAAAUCAUGUGAUCCACUAGUUACAUGAUUUUUGAGACACUCAAGCCUUCUACCUUUUGUUUUUCUGGCUCAUGCUGUCCGCUACAGAAAUUGGUUUGUUAUGUAUUUUGAAUGAACAGUGAAAAAAUAAACCACUCUUAUUUCCAUAGCUGUUUAUUAUAGUGGAAUUUUAUCAAAAGAUGCAGCCAUUUUGCUAGAUCUGUGAUGAGACUAGCAAUAGUAUUGUCUCCUUAAUUUAAGAACAAGUCCUUUGCCAAGGGAUGUUCAGAUGAACAAAUCUGUAACUUAGGGUUCUAUAGCAGGUAAAAGAAGAAUAUUUGAUUGAAAUGAAAGGAGACCUAAUUUUAAGAAACAGGUGUAUUUUCAGUGGUACAGUGAUUUUAAGAUGUAUUAGAGUGGAACUCGUACAUGAUAGAAAAAAAAUUUGUUUCACUUUUCUAGCAGAUGACUAUUUAAAACGGGGUAUUUAAAAUUAACUUUUUUUCUAGUGUGUUAAUAUUGUUUUCAUUUUGAGCUCCCUGUUCUUCUAUAUAAAUAUUUGAUUAAAAGUUUUUUGUUUACAAAAAUUUAAAAUGUUAUGAUUAUUUUAAUGUCAUUUGAGGACAUAAGGAAAAAAAUCCCUUCCCAAAAUAACUUGAGAUAUUAUUAUAUGGCUAAAACAAAAUCUGUGGCCUUUUCUUUUAAGUAGAAAUUAAAAAAAAAAAAUUGUAGUAUGGUGUUCAUUUUUUUAAGUAUAAAGCCUUUAUUAAUGAGAAUACUAGGUAAUUGUGGGGUAGUUAUCAAAAUAUAUUGUUAUGUAUUUUAACAUGUUAGUUAAUAAAUGUUUGAGUGCAUGAUGAGUUUAUUGCAAUACGUAACACCUUUAAAUUGGUUGUGUUUUAUUAACAGGAGGUCGCUAUGUUGAAUUUUAUUGCCUUAUGAGGGGGAAAGAAACAAUCCAGAACAAUAAUCAAAGCCAAGUUCUUUCUGUUUGGGAAGUCAAAACAGCAAUUCCACUGUUACAAAUUUAAUGUUGUAUCCAGAAUUUUUUCCAGGAAUCUGAUUGGUGAGAGCCAGGUCAGUGACAACUGGAAAUGAUUGUCUUUUUAGUAGCCAAAUUGUUCUGAAGUGGGGUUAUAGAGACUAUCUACACCAGACAGCGUCUCAUUUAAUAUGCAUGACACCAUCAUCAUGAAUAGUUGUUGAAUCACCCAUUACUUGAUGAGAUGACUCCGUAUAGGCAACAUGAGGCCCUUUCCCCUCUGAAACUUAGGAAAUUUAUAACCAAACGGGAAAGUAUAAUGUUCUUCAUAAUAUAGUCUGCAUAUAUGUCUUUCAAGUCAUAUAUGUAUCUCUUCUAAAUAUCUUAUUCUCAAGCCCCUCAGAACCUCUUACUAGUCCCAAGAUCUGUUGCGCCCAUUUAUGUUUUCAUAUACCAUUUCUCAUUCUGUCCUGUUUUCUGAUGAGCACUUCCCAAGAGGAACUUCUAGUCAUCCUGUGAGACCUAUUCAAAUAUUAUAUUGUCUGUGAAGUUUUCCACAGACUGAGUCAUUUCAUUUUCUCUUCUCCUAUAGUAUUGUAGCCAGAGUAAUCAUUCUAAAAUACAGAUUUGAUUGUGUCCUACCCGUUAUAAAAAAAGUUUUUUUUUUUUUUUUAAACUAUAAU